GAGGAGUGGGAGCUGGUCAACGGGUUGGCAACACCUCCAAUGUUAGCGCUGGUUACAACUCCGGAUCCAUUGGUUCAGGGAAUAGCUUCAAAAUGAGCUGAGGAAAUCGGCCUCCAACGCUUCUAAAAACAAUGCAACAUUUGUCGAAUGUAGAAUUCAUGAUUUCAAAUCAACAGAAAGAGUGAGUGAUCUGAUGAAUGUAAAGGAAAUAUGAGUGUAAAUAAAGUAGAGUACCUGCUCUAUGA